GGGAUUGUAGUUCAGGGGUAGAACGUUUCUUUCGCACUCCCAGAAGCCCAAAAAGCUUCGAGUCGAAACGAUCCUAGAAAAGGUCCCCGGUUCAAAUCCGGGCAAUUCCA
rnacentral:tRNA from 1 species